GAAACCAGCUAUAGCGAUGGAAGGUUGUUAAAACGUUGAAAAUAAUCACCUAAAUAGCUACGUUAAUUAAUUUAAUUGGCGACUGAUCGAUCGAUCGAUCGGCUGAAGAUUAAUAAAACUCCGGGAAUCGGCUUUUUUUUCUCGACGAAAUAGAGUUAACGCGCAUUCUUUCCUCCCCGUUAUCUUUGUCAACCAUGUGGGUGAUAUCUUUGGUGGUAAAGAAGGGGAUUGUUAGCUCCUUGUUACGGGUGUUCCCGCUGACAGAAAUGCGUUCUAUUAUCCGACGUACGUUCAUACAAUAGCCAAAGGCAAAAAACUACAAACCUUAGGGUCGAUCAAUGGAGAAUUUCUUAUUACAAGAAAUCAAACGGAUCUUGACAUUGCGAUACAAAAUUUUCCAAAAUUUGAGAAGAAAAAAGAAGAACGAAUACACGCGGGGAUCGAAAGAAACGAGCCGUUUUACUUAACGAAAAUAAGUGUUCAAAUGGAAAUAACGCGUAGAUAAUAUACACGUGCGGUCACGUAGAUGAGAAAUUUCCAUUGCAUUAACAUGUCACCCUAGAUAAUUUAUGCGGGAAGCAUAACGUCCUUUAAUUAGUAUCGUUUGCCAGACAGAUUAAUAAAAUGUCAGUACUAAUAUUCUAAAAUUAA